rnacentral:ncRNA from 1 species
AUAGAAGUGAUGAAGGAGAAAAGUAAAGAUCCUAUGCUUAGCAGAGAGAGGAAUCCAGCGGCUGGAAGGUUCCUUAGGCUAAGAUUUUGAAAACCCACUCCAGAGCUGCUCGGGAUAACUGGGCCGGCCACCUCCGAUAUCGGGUAUUAAGUGAAUGCAUUUUUGCAUUAAUAAAGGUGGUACCACGAAAGAAUCCUUUCGUCCUUUGG